rnacentral:rRNA from 1 species
AGAGUUUGAUCCUGGCUCAGGGACGAACGCUGGCGGCGUGCCUAACACAUGCAAGUCGAAGCGAGUGAAUCUCCUUCGGGAGUGAAGCUAGCGGCGGACGGGUGAGUAACACGUGGGCAACCUGCCUCAUAGAGGGGAAUAGCCUUCCGAAAGGAAGAUUAAUACCGCAUAAGAUUGUAGCUUCGCAUGAAGUAGCAAUUAAAGGAGCAAUCCGCUAUGAGAUGGGCCCGCGGCGCAUUAGCUAGUUGGUGAGGUAACGGCUCACCAAGGCGACGAUGCGUAGCCGACCUGAGAGGGUGAUCGGCCACAUUGGGACUGAGACACGGCCCAGACUCCUACGGGAGGCAGCAGUGGGGAAUAUUGCACAAUGGGGGAAACCCUGAUGCAGCAACGCCGCGUGAGUGAUGACGGCCUUCGGGUUGUAAAGCUCUGUCUUCAGGGACUAUAAUGACGGUACCUGAGGAGGAAGCCACGGCUAACUACGUGCCAGCAGCCCGCGGU